rnacentral:ncRNA from 1 species
GAGAGCCCGUUGCGCGGAGACGCGCACGGCGGGUUCGGCGAGCGGCCUGGAGAAACGGACCAGCAGCAACGCGGGCACCGCGCUCCAGGCCGACUCAAC